rnacentral:rRNA from 1 species
GACGAACGCUGGCGGCGUGCUUAACACAUGCAAGUCGAGCGGUAAGGCCCUUUCGGGGGUACGACGAGCGGCGAACGGGUGGAGUAACACGUGGGUGACCUGCCCUCAGCUCUGGGAUAAGCCUGGGAAACCGGGGUCUAAUACCGGAUAUGACUCCAUGACGCAUGUUGUGGGGUGGAAAGCCUUGUGCGGCUGAGGAUGGGCCCGCGGCCUAUCAGCUUGUUGGUGGGGGGAU